UUAUGGCCACAUCAUCUUGAAACAAUGGUUCCCAUAUGAUCGAAGUUAAGCAACAUUGAGCCUGGUCAGUACCUAGAUAGAUGACCCCCUGGAAAUACCAGGUGCUGUAAG